UACGGAGGGUGCGAGCGUUGUCCGGAAUUACUGGGCGUAAAGGGCUCGUAGGCGGCCAACUAAGUCGGAUGUGAAAUCCCCAGGCUCAACUUGGGAACUGCAUCCGAUACUGGAUGGCUUGAAUUCGGGAGAGGGAUGCAGAAUUCCAGGUGUAGCGGUGAAAUGCGUAGAUAUCUGGAGGAAUACCGGUGGCGAAGGCGGCCCCCUGGACAAAGACUGACGCUCAGGUGCGAAAGCGUGGGGAGCAAACAGG
rnacentral:rRNA from 1 species